rnacentral:lncRNA from 1 species
AGUUAUCAGCCUCAUUCAAAUCCUUACAGAAAAAUUCUAGAGAGAGAUUGUUAGUAGAAAAAUAAAAAUAAGAAAAAUAAAAUUAGGGAUUGAAAAAUAAAAAUUAAAAAUGGGAAAAAUAAAAAUAAGAAAAUAAAAUAAAACAAAGUGAAAAUUAAUCAAGAAUCACAUAAAUAGAAUAACUUAAACCGUGAGUCCCCAACAACGGCGCCAAAAACUUGUUGGGGCAAAUCGACAAGUGUACCGAGUCGC